rnacentral:rRNA from 1 species
CCAGCUGAUCCUGCUGGCGGAUACUGCUAUCGAAAUCCGAUUUAGCCAUGCAAGUCUAAGAGACCGAGUGUCGGUUUCUGGCGAACGGCUCAGUAACACGUAGUCAACCUGCCCUUUGGAACGGCCAAACCCGGGAAACUGGGACUAAUACCGUAUGGUCAACUCACACUGGAAUGUGGAGUUGGCGAAAUGCGCGCGCGGAUUGCAGUGCGUAGCGCCAAAGGAUGGGACUGCGGCAGAUUAGGUAGUUGGCGGGGUAACGGCCCACCAAGCCGACGAUCUGUACGGGCAUUGAGAGAUGGAGCCCGGAGAAGGGCACUGAGAUAAGGGCCCUAGCCCUACGGGGUGCAGCAGUCGCGAAACCUUUACAAUGCGCGAAAGCGUGAUAAGGGGAUUUCGAGUGGUCUCUUCUGAGACCUUUUGCCAAGUUUAAAACGCUUGGCGAAUAAGUGGAGGGUAAGAUACGUGCCAGCCGCCGCGGUAAUACGUACUCCACAAGUGGUGUCCACUCAUAUUGGGCCUAAAGCGUCUGUAGCCGGUUGGGUAAGUCUUUGGUGAAAUCGGCGCGCUUAACGUGUCGACGUGCCAAAGAUACUGCUCGGCUUGGGAUCGGGAGAGGUCAAUGGAAUUUCGGGGGUAGCGGUGAAAUGUUAUGAUCCUCGAAGGACCACCAGUAGCGAAGGCGAUUGACCAGAACGAAUCCGACGGUGAGAGACGAAAGCUGGGGGAGCGACCCGGAUUAGAUACCCGGUUAGUCCCAGCCGUAAACGAUGCAGACUAGGUGUCCUGCAACCCACGUGGUUUCGGGGUGCCGACGCGAAGGCAUUAAGUCUGCCGCCUGGGAAGUACGCUCGCAAGAGUGAAACUUAAUGGAAUUGGCGGGAGCUCACUACAAGGGGUGGAUGCUGCGGUUUAAUUGGAUACAACGCCAGAUAACUCACCAGGGGCGACAGCAGUAUGAUGGACAGUCUAAAGGGCUUUCCUGACGCGCUGAGAGGUGUUGUAUGGUCAUCGUCAGCUCGUACUAUAAAGCGUCCUGUUAACUCAGGCAACGGGCGAGACCCACAUUCUUAGUUGCGACUCUUCAAUUUAUUGGAGGGGCACUCUAGGAAAACUGCGGUGGUAACACUGAGGAAGGAGUGGGCAACGGUAGAUCUGUAUGGCCCGAAUCUCCUGGGCAACACGCGGCAUACAAUGGUUGAUACAAUGAGAUCCUAGCCCGAAAGGGUACGGUAAUCCCCUAACAUCAAUCGUAGUGCGGAUUGAGGUCUGUAACUCGGCCUCAUGAAGAUGGAAUCCCCAGUAAUCGCGUGUCAUAAUCGCGCGGUGAAUACGUCCCUGAGCUUUGCACACACCGCCCAUCAAGCCAUUCGAUUAGAGUCCUGAUGAGUCCUGUCUUGCGUUCGCGCAGGGCUGGUCGAUUCAGGGCUUUGAGAGACGGGCUAAGUUGUAACAAGGUGUCCGUAGGGGAACCUGCGGACG